CGGGACGUAGCUCAGCUUGGCUAGAGCGCCGCGUUUGGGACGCGGAAGUCGCAGGUUCGAAUCCUGUCGUCCCGACCA
rnacentral:tRNA from 1 species